GCUAGGGGGCCUUAGAGACCUCUGCCUGUGACCAGUCGCUGGGAGCUCCGGCAGCGGGCUCUACGCGGUCGCGAGGGUUUCCUGUGUGUCAGCAACUUCACUCAAGGAGAUAGCUGGCUGGAGAGCGAAAGUGCGCGCGGGCCAGUCGCUCCCUGGCAGCCGCCGCCGGCCAAGCGCACCCUUUGCCCUCGCCACUGCCCCGCGGCUGCCGGGGCCACACUGAGCGCAGCCCAGCACCGCGAAGCCUUGCUCCCCAGAAGACGCCUCGCCCCGGCGGCGCCCUCCGGGGCGCGGGCAGCGUGCCCAGCGAGCUCGGCGGAGCACGCCCCUCGCCUCCGGAGCCGCGCGGACUCGCACGGGCGCCCAGGCUCCGCCCACCCCGCCCGGACCGGCCCGGCCCCGGCCACCAGCACUCGGGACUGAGCCAGGUCUCCUGGAGCGCUUCGCCUGCACGGACCGAGCACCGGAGGCAACCUAGAAGCACUCGGGCUGCGACCCUGCGCGCUCCGAUGGCCCUCGGGGGGUGAGCGCAGGAGGCGAGGGAAGCCCGGAAGAAGCGACUAGCAGGUAGGAGAAGGAAGAUGCCCCCACAAAGUUGAUCUUGGGGAGAAGGAGGGUGGGCUGCGCCCCCUUCUCGCUGGACCGCAGCCGGGCCAGUGGGGCUUGAUCUCACUGCGCACCGGGCGUGCUCUGCAGCGCGGACCCGCGGACCCUUGGGAAAGCGCAGUUGGAAAGUUGUCGGUGCCCUGUGCGCCCUGUUGUGUAACCCUGCGCCGCCUGCCAGACGGGGAAGUUGCCGGCCGGCCCGCCUGCCUGCUUCGAUCACGGAUGGGAGCGGAUUUCAUGGCCCGAGGCGAACGCGCGCCCGGAGCCGGCCAGUGCGAGCCCCCGCGCGCCCCCUUCCGCGGGGACACCCCGCGCCCGAGCCCUUCCUCCAGCAGGCUUUUCCGAUGCUCGCUGCGCACAGUGCCAGUGCCGCCCUCUCGCCCCUUCGUGCCCUUCGUACCUGCUGCCUAAGUCGGGGAGGAGAGAAUGACCGAGGUGCAGUGGCCGGCUGUCCCCAACGGGACGGACGCUGCCUUCCUGGCCGGCCCGGGCGUGCACUGGGGAAACAGCACAGCCGCAUCCACUGCCGCUGCUGCCGCCACCUUCAGAUGUGCCCUGACCAAGACAGGCUUCCAGUUCUACUACCUGCCGGCCGUCUACAUCUUGGUGUUCAUCAUUGGCUUUCUGGGCAACAGCGUGGCCAUCUGGAUGUUUGUUUUCCACAUGAAGCCUUGGAGCGGCAUCUCCGUGUACAUGUUCAACUUGGCUCUGGCCGACUUCUUGUACGUGCUGACUCUCCCAGCACUCAUCUUCUACUACUUCAAUAAGACAGACUGGAUCUUCGGGGAUGCCAUGUGCAAACUGCAGAGGUUCAUCUUCCACGUGAACCUGUAUGGCAGUAUCUUAUUCCUGACGUGCAUCAGCGCACACAGGUACAGCGGCGUAGUGUACCCACUGAAGUCCCUGGGCAGGCUCAAAAAGAAGAACGCCAUCUAUAUCAGCGUGCUGGUGUGGCUGAUCGUGGUGGUGGCAAUCUCCCCCAUCCUGUUCUACUCUGGUACCGGAGUCCGGAAAAACAAAACCAUCACCUGCUAUGACACCACCACAGAUGAGUAUCUAAGAAGUUAUUUCAUCUACAGCAUGUGCACCACCGUGACCAUGUUCUGUGUCCCCUUGGUACUGAUUCUGGGCUGUUACGGAUUAAUUGUGAGAGCUUUGAUUUACAAAGACCUGGACAACUCCCCUCUUAGGAGGAAAUCCAUUUAUCUGGUGAUUAUUGUACUGACUGUUUUUGCUGUAUCUUAUAUCCCUUUCCAUGUGAUGAAAACGAUGAAUUUGAGAGCCCGGCUUGAUUUUCAGACCCCAGAAAUGUGUGCUUUCAAUGAUAGAGUGUAUGCUACUUACCAGGUGACAAGAGGUCUAGCAAGUCUCAACAGCUGUGUGGACCCCAUUCUGUAUUUCUUGGCUGGUGAUACUUUUAGAAGGAGACUCUCCCGAGCAACCAGAAAAGCUUCCAGAAGAAGUGAGGCAAAUUUGCAAUCCAAGAGUGAAGACAUGACCCUCAAUAUUCUAUCUGAGUUCAAGCAAAAUGGAGACACAAGCUUGUGAAGGGACAAGAACCCCCACACACCUCCCUUUGUAACAUGGUAGGAUGCUUAACAGGGCCCAGUACUUUUUGCCCCUCUAAGUUUCUAGUAGGGAUAUAAAAAUCAAAAUGCAAAAGAAGUGAAUUAAAAAAUACAGAAGCAAAUGUGCCCACAUCCACACGUGGCUAUUUCAGUUUGUCUUCAGUCUCCCUUCUGGUUGACUACAAGUAUAUCUAGUAAAACAAACCCACAUAGUUAAACAUUUACUUUUCCGCUGCCUAUAAAAUUUACAAGCUUUUGUAAAGUGUGUGCACAUGGGUACAGGAACUAUUUUAGUAUUGAUAAUUUCUCAAAAAGUGAGACAAGAAUUCAAAAAACUUGAAUUAUUUUUUUAUAUUUCCAGGCCUUAUCAAUUUUAAUGAAGCAUGGCAUGAGCAAACUGGAAAUCCAAAUUCUUAAAAUAUUUAGUACUGGCUCUCCAAGUUCAUUCAAUAAAGAAUGAACAGAUCUCUAAGAUAGAUGUCUUUUUCAGUUCCUUGCAAGCAUAAAUGGUAGCUGGCUGCAUUUCUUUAGGGAACUGAGUAGAAAAGUAAAGUCAAUGAACUUAAAAGCCUGAAAAUAAUAAUUUUCCAGUUAUUUCUGGAAAACCUCGCACUGCACAUUGGGUGCCAAAUGUUGAUGGUGGAAGCCUGCAUACAGAACCUUACUGGAAGAUGCAGUGUAGGUGUCAUAGUGCAUCUACUUUCAUUGUAUAUACUAUGAAGCUGUUAGACUUCCUGAGAUCAAGAGCAUGUACUUGUACUACUGUCAUACAACACGAGGACUUUGUGCUCCAAGACAAGGACUCACAUCUGCCAAGAGAAGUAUCUGGAAAGAUCUGUGCUAAUGGUGAAAACAUAUAGAGGGUCAGGAUGAAGCAGUGAUCUGUCAGCUGAAAAGCUGAUGAUGCCAUGUGAUGAUAUGAGUAAGUAUUUUAAUUGUAGAGACAGAAAUCGGCUGAGAUUUGGAUGGGGAAACAGCUAAAAACAUGUUAGUACCAAGUUCAAGGGGGUUUUAUUGCAUACAAAGCAUGGUCUUUGACACUCGACACAUCAAUUUGUAUUUACACUGAAAAAAAAUGAGAAGUAAGAUGAAAUACACCAUGAAAGCCCAGAAUUCAGAUUUAAGCCCAUGAUGUAACUUCUGGGCCAACUGUGGGACUCCUGAUCUCUUGAAGACCGUUCUUUGUGGAUUGCAAUGGUUACUGACAUCCAUUUGUGGAGUUGUAGGUGAUGUGAGAAAGCUCACAAACUAGACAAGAGUGCAACGGAAUCUGCUACUGUGUGUUUGUCCUAGUCCUCAGCUAACUGUGCUGACAAGUUUCAGCAGUUGUGAUGUGGCAGGUCAUAACCUGCAAGUCUUCUCGGGCUACUCAUGGUAUGCUGAACUGUAGCUGAAUGCUUACAGACGUUCCUGCUCAGCCCAGCUGGAAUUCAAAUAGUGACAAUAUUGAAAGAUGCUACACUAAUUAGGACCUACUGAAGCUUUCCCUUUGCUGGUCCUACUGCAACUAUUGUAAUAAUAUUUAUUGAAGUUCACAGUCUUUCACUUGUACAGAUUGAAAUACUUUCUUGAAAGAUCCAACAUAUUGAUGUCAGCUGUAUUUAUUAAAGAUAUAACAUUAAUAUGCCGCACUGGUAUAUUUGACCUAAUAUAUGAUGGGUAGAUAAAAUGAGAAUUGUGUAAUAUGAUGCUUUCAAAUAUCAAUAUUUUAAAACUUAAGUCUUCAGAGUUUUGGGGGUUUAAAAUAUAGAAAUCUGUUUCAUGAAACAAGUGAUGUAAUUUUUCUUAGAAAUACACCUGCAUGUUUGCCUUUCUGUUAUAUCUUUUCACAUAGAUACAAUUUGGUAUCAGAUUAUCAUAAGAUUAACUGUGAAUACAAAGUACCUUAGCCAGACUGGGUCUGCUUUGCCUACAAUUUACAUAUAUAAUAGAAAAGCUUAUGUUGUCUUUUCAAGAGAUUUAGCAUUUUGUCCUCAACUAUGGUCAGAGCUUCUACUUCCAAAGGCAAAAGUCUCAUAUUCAGAGUUAGUCUCUUACGGUUUAGAAUUCUGCUAGUUUUGGCAUUAUACAUGCAACAUUAGAAUUUAAGGACAGAAUUUAGGGAGAAAAAGGGAAAAAGGCACCUGGUUCAAUCAGGUACUGUUGCUCAAUUCUGAAGUGUUUGCAUUGUGUUUCUUCUUGAAGUGAAGCAAUAUGGUCUUAAUUUUUUGAGAUAAGAGUUUUUAAAUAGCACACUACCAGAAAGUUGAACAUUGGUAUUGAUUUUAAACUGUUUUCUUUGUUCAGUUGAUAAUUUCAAUAACAAGUUUUUAGUGAUAAAUACAUUAUUUGGCUGCUGAAUUCUGUUACAGUUUUUUUUAUUCUGUUGUUAUCCAUUGCAUUAUAUACAUCAUCACAAAUUAAUAUGAAGGUGAAUAGAUGUUGCAUAUCAAAAUUUGUGAAUUUGAAUUACAUUUUAGUGUUUUGCAAAAAUGUUUAUUUUUAUAUUAUCUGAUUUUAAAGUAGAUAAUUAGAUUUCUUUGUGAGUAGUAGUGCCAUUGAAUGAGUGGUAUGAAACAGUAUUACUUGACAUAUUGAACUUUCUCAGGUUUAUCUGAAUUGAUGGUAGUUGAACAAAAUCCAAACUAAUAGUACGUAAUAGUUUUUUUAAAAAACAAGAAAGUUUAUUUCCUAUAAUAGCAUAGUGUUGUUUGCAUGCAAAAGUGUCUUGUGCUGUGUGUAUGUGUGUGUGCGUAUGCAUGUGUGUAUAUGUGUGUGCGUAUGCAUGUGUGCAUGUGUGUGUGUGUGUGUGUGUGUGUGUGUGUGUGAGGCAUGGCAUCCAACUUUGUAUUUGCUAGUUAUAGUAACAGCAGAGCUUCGUAAUCCUGGGCACUAGAAUUGUAUUUACCAUAGACAAUAAAAGCUGGAAAAGAUUAAAUAAAACUGUAAAACAUGG